UACGUAGGGUGCGAGCGUUAAUCGGAAUUACUGGGCGUAAAGCGUGCGCAGGCGGUUUUGCAAGCCGGAUGUGAAAUCCCCGGGCUCAACCUGGGAAUGGCAUUCGGGACUGCAAGGCUGGAGUGCGGCAGAGGAGACUGGAAUUCCUGGUGUAGCAGUGAAAUGCGUAGAUAUCAGGAGGAAUACCGAUGGCGAAGGCAGGUCUCCUGGGCUGACACUGACGCUCAUGCACGAAAGCGUGGGGAGCAAACAGG
rnacentral:rRNA from 1 species